AAGCUCGUAGUUGAAUUUCGGGAUCAAUAUGUCGGUCGUGCCAUCGGUACGUACUGGUAUCAUUGGUUUCUCCUUUCUGACGAACCAUGAUGUCAUUAAUUUGGUGUUAUGGGGAGUUAGGACUGUUACUUUGAAAAAAUUAGAGUGUUUAAAGCAGGCUUUAGCUUGAAUACAUUAGCAUGGAAUAAUGAAAUAGGACGUUCGAACCUAUUUUGUUGGUUUCUAGGAUCAACGUAAUGAUUAAUAGGGAUAGUUGGG
rnacentral:rRNA from 1 species